AGAGUUGUGACUGGACAUCCGUG
rnacentral:miRNA from 1 species